GCCGGCGUCGCCUAAUUGGUAGGGCAGCAGUCUCGAAAACUGCCGUCCGAAAGGACUUGCAGGUUCAAAUCCUGUCGCCGGCG
rnacentral:tRNA from 1 species